AUCCUUAUUCCUUACUUUGCUUCCUUAAUCAUCUGAUCAUUAAUGAAAAUAUAUGAUCCUAAUCAUGUAUUUUCAGAUAAACUCACACUCUUACUCUUACAUUAGUAUAUAUCGAAUCGAAUAAAUAAUUAAAAUCUUCAUUUGAUCUUGAAUUUUUGAUCUUGAAUUUAUAAUAAUAAUAUUUUAUUUCCUACGGGCUACGACAGACAACGCCGGCAGGCUGAUGCAAUAGGACGUCGGGAGCAUUCGAGACGCGGCGGCAAGGAAGGAGACAACAAACUACCUAAUUUCUGAAUUUGGGGACCACGACUGAACGAGACCGGACUAGGUUCGAGUCGGAGGCAGAAACACCAGACACGUGCACCAAGGUGGACUAGAGAUUUUGAGAUGGGAUCCCCAAAUUAGUUGAAGUUUUAUUAAAAUAACC
rnacentral:lncRNA from 1 species